rnacentral:lncRNA from 1 species
CACACACAUGCCUCAAGCAUGCACUCACGCACAUACAUACACUCACAUCACUAUUACUAGCUCACACCUUACAAACUUGCACACAAGGGCUCCUAAGGCUAUGCCAUGCCUUGGGCAUGUGGGUGUCACCACACACAUGCACACACACUCACACACAACACCACAUGCUAGGAGUUCACCCUCAGACCUACAUGGACAAACCACAUCACAUAUGCACUAGGGUACUUGCACCACACAAGCACACCUCAUGAGAGUUGCACCCCCUAUAUCCACAUGCACACCUACAACAUGACCUACACACACA